AGCCUUCAGUGGCGGCCAUUGCUCUCGCCGCACAAACAAGGCAGGAGAGGAAGUGGAGCUUCGCUUACGUCGCUGCGAGGCAAAAAGUGGGCAGAGCCGGCGAAGGAUAUGAGCUCGUCGGGAGGCGGAGAGGAAGGACACACGCCACAGAGAAGCCAUGCGAACAACAUCGAGGAGAGAGCGCGCCCGAGCCUCGCCGCCCAAACGGUCACCAAAACGGCGAAAAUGGCCAGAAAACAGCACGCCGAGAGGGGCAGACGACAGCGGAUAGUCGCAUCCGAGGGAGUUGGGGUUCCAUUUGGUCGAUAACGCAGUGCGGUAUAGAAGGAUCAGAUCGUCUACCCAAGGAAAAUGGGUUGACGUCGAGGCUACGAAGACGUUGUGGAUGGAUUUGUCCGAUUUUCUCCCCAGAGUAGAAUUAGGAGACAUGGGCUGGUAGGAGGAUUUUUCAAAUUGGGAUCAUAAGAAGACAGCUCUACCCCAUUCAACUGGAUUUCGCUGACAAUGGAGACGACAUUAAAACGUGAAGAUAGCGUUGUUUAACGUGAAGAUGGCAAUUUUUGACAAGCGGAAACCUUAUUUAUUUUUUGACGGCGACUUUUUGUAUGGAUUUUUAAAAAGACUUCGCAACAUCGUGGACAUUGGAACAAAGUUGCUAGCUGUGUCGUGGACCUAAAUUUUCACUGUUUUUGAGAAGCACAAAAUUGGCAACUGUACAUUGGUAUUCAUGCUGUUUUGAAUAAAGUAUGUUCUGUAUUUUUUUU